UUAAACUAGAGUUAAUAUUUUUAAGUUAAGAGUUUUAGUUUUUCUAUGAAUCAAUGCGAGGAUAACAUAAUAGACACAGAUAAAUAUGAAAAUAUCAAGAAAAUCAGCAAAUUAGUAGAGGCAAAUCCUAGUUAUAUUGGAUAUCUUUUAUUGAUAUUUAUAUUGCAUAUGAGAAAGCAGUCACUAAUGAACAUAAUUAGAAGUUCUAAAUAUAUUUUAUUGUAAUUAUAAUAGAAGCUAAUGAUAUAAUAUUGAUUUAAAUUAAUGAAAUAAAAUGGAUUUAUACUUUAUGAACUUUGGAAAUAUAAAAUCUAGUGAGCAAUACUAAGUAAUGAAAAAGAGAAGCUAAUAAGACAACUGAAAAAAUAUUAAAAAAACCCACAAAUGGACAAGAUUUAUUAAAGUCUUAUCUUUUAAUUAAUUUAAGUGUUAUAUUACGUACCUGAAAAUGAAUUUGAUAAAGGGGAAUGAAGCAUUUAAUGAAUAAUGUAAAAAAUAAGACAAGUGGAGUAUGAAAUAAUGGUUGGUUAAGUAACAUUGCCUCAUGAACAGAAAACAGUAACUGAAACUAUGUUCCUCCACAUUUAAUCUUAAUAAGUUCAGCAGUUUGGAUGUUAAUGAGAUAUAAUUAUAAACAAACUGCAUUUGUAGAUUUUGGGAAGAAUUAUAUCUUUACAAUAACUAUUAUUAUUUACAAUUGUUGUGUUAAGGAAACAAUCUCUAAUUUUUAAUCACCCAGGAUGUAUUCAUAGUAACUGUAGGUAUCAUAGUAAUUUUAUGAAAUCCUCACAACAUCUAACGUUAGGUUUUAUGAAUUGAAAAUUUUUUGGUAUAUAACAGCACAUAAACAAGAUAUUGACAUUGCUGUAAAUAAACACUUACAUUUAUUAGUUAAUUAUCUACAUAUAUAAAUAUGAAUACAUCUACAUUAGGUAGUAAUGCAUUGAAUUUGGUGCACCUGUGUGUGUUCAGUAGUAAUGUCUGUAUUGUUUAAUAAGUUGUUACAUAUGCUUAUUUUUCUAUGUAGACUGAAUUAUGUUAAGGAAGAUAUUUGGUGCCUUAUUUUAGUAAAAAAUAACCAUAACUGAAACAUUUUUAUUUUGCUACCUAUUUGUUUUAUAUUCCUAACUGUUAGUAGGUACGGGUCAUUCAUAUAUGCAUUAACUGUAUAUUCUUGUAAAAUAAACUAAUAUUGUUAAUCACUUUAAUGGCUUUUCCUACUAAAGAAGACAUAGGUAAAUUACCAAAAAUAAAACUGACAAAUACAUAACAUACAAUGUUUAUUCAUUUCUUACUUAAACAGAUUUUGCAUUUACAUUAACUAGUAGCAAAUCACUGAUAUAACCAAAAGUAAACAGACAUAAAUAUUAACUUAAAAUCAGCAUCAAACUUAAUUUCAAAUUUAUAAUUUCAUACCAGACUAAGUUUCUAUUUUAUAAUUUUUAUUAAUCCCUCUUUUCAUUUCAUUGAUUACUUGCUGCUUUUCAAUUCUCACUUUCUAAAAGUAUAAAUUUAUUAUAAACAAUCAACCUUUAUGACUCUAACAUAAACUGAAAUUGUUUGUUGGACAUAAACAGAGAUAAUUCCAACUAGUAGCAAAUCACUAAUAAAAUCUACACUUAUAUAUAAAUCUGCUUACAAAUUGACAUUAAAAAUGUUCAAGCACAAACACCAAACCUAAUUAAAGCUUAAAUCAAACUCUAAUUUCA